ensembl:lncRNA
UGGGUGUGUGUGGGUGUGUGUGUGCGCACGCGCUCAGUCACUUCAGUUGUGUCUGACUCUUUGCAACCCUAUGGACUGUAGGUGUCCAGGCUCCUCUGUCCAUGGGAUUCUCCAGGCAAGAAUACUAGAGGGAGUUGCCAUUUCCUCUUCUAGGGGAUCUUCCCGACUCAGGAAUCAAAUCUGUAUCUCCUGCACUGCAGGCAGAUUCUUUACCGUCUGAGCCAUCGGGAAGCAGAAGGCCCCUAUACUUCUGCAUUAAAAUACUAUUUUCUAGUCAGAUUUCCAGCUUACAACCCAUGGAACAAAACAGAAAGUUUAUUAUAUAUUUUGCAAUCCAAUAUUCUCCAUAAAUGGACUCUAGAUCCUCCUAUUCAAUACAUGAUAUUAUGUCUAAUAGUACUCAGCAUCUAGCAUCUAUCAUAUAUAUCCUGAGAUUAAUUUCUCAUGAAUAGGCAGUACACUCUCACAGUCCAAAAAUAUACAAAACAUGUAUGUGAAUAGCCUUUCUCCAUCAGUCCAGUUUCUUUCUCAUUGUUGUUAAUUUCUUUUAUGGUCCUCCAGAGCUCCCUGCUGCAUAGAAAAGCGAAUAGGAAUGGGAUUGCUAUGAAUCCAGAAGGCUACAGUUUACUCCAUUUGUAUCUGUUCUGCUGAUCAGGAGGGCUUGGGGGAUGGGGGCAGAUCCCUGGAAGCUUUGAAGAACUUAAAGAGGCUCAUGUCAAAUACAAUCUAGUCACGGUGUGAGAUGCCUCCUGACUGUAAUUUUAAAAUAUCAGUGAAAGAGAAGACAGAGCACAUGCAGAACAAAUGGUCCCUAAGGCUCCAAACUGUGUUGCUGAAUCCAAACAGUCAGGGGAAAGGGAAGAAAGAAAGGAAGAAAAGCAAACAGAAAGAGUAAGGUGAUCAAAUUUAGAACUGAAAAAACGUGGUUUCUCAUUUUUUGGUGUGUGCCUCCCCCCCAGUUAAAUUUCAAAGGACUAAAUUGUUAGGCAUCAAGUAAGUCACAAAUACAUUUCCUCCUACUUUCAGAAAGGUUCUCUCAUGUUUUAGUCUGUAAAUAUUUUGUAUGGGUUACAAAUGGAGAGGGGUGCAGGGCAGGGGGAGAUAGGGAAAUGCACAUGUAUUUUAAAACAACUGAGAUAAAUUCUAUAGUGUAACAAGUUAGUAUAUGUAGAUUUGAUAGACCUCAGGUAUUUUGUCCUCUGAAAUCUUAAGAGACAAAAAUAAAGCCAGAGUUGACAGCUCCCUAUACAAAGCAGAUGGCACCUCCAGUUACAUCAGUUACAUUAGGGCAGCUCUCAGAGAGGUUCAGGGGUCUUACUAUCCAACAGUGACUGACCCCGACCAUUUUCUAUCUGGGAGUCAGAUGCAGAUGGAGAAGAAGACAUGCCUUGUAGGAAAAGUGCCAUAGACAGGGCCCCCUGCCAGGGUUGGGGCCAGUUCUGCUAUCUGGGGUGUUCUGUGACUUCCUGGUACCUGGCCAGAAUUGCAGCUGCUAAACUGGCUCAAGUCAAUGGUGCAAGCCUCCUCACUAUGCUUUCUUCCCUUAUCCUUGUCAGUGGGGUUGAAAGAUCUUCAGCUUCUUGAUGAAAUAUAGCUAUUACUCUAUAAGUGUGUGAAUUCGCAUGUGUGCAUGUGCGUGUGUGUGUGUGUGUGUGUUCAGGGGUGGGGUUAUUAAGAAUUCACUCUUUCUAUUAAUGCCAAAAAUCUCUCUUCUUUCACUUUGUUAUUCUUCUGGCCCUCUCUCAUAGUAAUACUAGAUGCAAUAAUGACUGCAAAAGCUCACUGCUGAUUCUCUUCUCUGCCUCUGAAGAGAUUCUUGCCUGCCCCUCUUAAGGACCCACUGCCAGGUUUUUAGCCUUAGUUACUGUGGUUAAGCCACCUUCCACAGCAGGGGUAGCUUUCAGAUCACCCACUGAGUUCAAAUGAUGUUCUGGUAGGACUAAAGGGCAUUGGUAGGUGAAAAGGACCCCAAACCCCUGCCCCCUGCAGCCCGGGAGCUGUUCAUCAGACUGGAAGCCUAAGGCUCACAUAACUCUAAUUAGUGUGCGCAUAUGUUGGCUAGCCUCUUGGCCAGUUUUAUGAGGUUUCACUGGCAGUGCUUGAAUCAGCAGGUCAGAUGAGGAUUAAGGGUCCUAAUGAAUCAUGUGACCAUAAGUGGUCUUGGAUGGUGGCUGUGAUCAGACCUACCCCUGGUGUUCUCCACCCUGAGGCUCUUUUCAUUCCUGGAAAGGAAGGCUGGUCUGGGAGGAACCAGCCAAAAAGGGCACCAGCAGAAGUUUAAAAUGUCCUUAUCUGUGUCUUGGCACAGAACAUUACUAGAAUGUGUAUGUAUUUUCAGUCUUUUGGAAAUUCAGGAGAAAAGUUUUGUCUUAACUGUAUAGAAUUUCAGAGUGGAAGUGGGACUUUGGAGUUCUAAUCUCUUUUUCACAGUCCAGGAAAACACUCUUCUCUCUUGGGAAGAAGGCAUGAUGUUUCCAAAAGCAAAGCAGUGAGGCAGCUCUCAUCAAAAGCGCUGGUGGAUCUGGUGACAAGACGGACACGCGCUUCGCUUGGAGCCUGGGAGUUGUCAGGCGGCGCGGAGGCCGCGGGGGGACAGCCUCGGGGCCCCACGGUGAGCGCGCCUGGUGCUGCUGCGUCCCUGGCCGGAGAGAGGCAGCGACGGGGCCAAGGAACCAGCGAGGAUUCUUGGGAAAUCGCGCCGGAGGGAGGUUGGUAGAUCAGAGAAAGGCGAGGUGGCGACGAAGAGAGUGCGGGAGGAGAGACGCGGUCAGGAAGCCCGGCUGCUGGACUCUGCGUGGAAUCAGUCCACCGCACGGCUGAAGCGGUCCACUGUCCUGGCUGAAGAUUCUGCUUGGGUGCCUCUCUGGGUGAAGGCACCACCAGGGUGGCUCUUGGUUUUGCCAAAAUUCGCGCUUUUAAAAACAAAUGUUUUUUCAUUCUUUGAGCGUGGGUUUCGGUGAGGUCUGAGGCUGAAGAUUCUCUGGGGCCUCGGAAGCCAUCGGUGGUCUUCCCUUAAGCCUCAGAAAUAGAACUGGACAAAAAUAAAAAUCAGCAAGGAAACUAAACAGCCCCCACAAACCAUCCUUCCAGGGCUGGGGAGCUGUAUUCUGGCCUCAGUGGUCAGGUUCGAAAUAAAUGGAGUCCUGGCUUGAAUUACACCCUGGGGACAGCAUUUUAAUGUAAAUAUAAGAUACGCUUGUCAUAAUCACUUGCGGGCUCCGAAGCACCACUAGAAUCUCCGUUUAAUUAAAGGGGCAGGAGAGGAGAAUUACCAGCCAAUUAAAUCUGAGCCUAUUUGUAAUACUCCCUUCGCUGCUGCCGACUUUAAAAUGCGAAAUGACUGUAAACGUGCCCACAUAUCAAAUUGUUGAACACAGGUGAAAACUAGAGGAGUAAACCAGGGGACCAGAGGUUGGGGGAAAAAGAAGAACGGGGAAAAACGCAGGCCUCCGGCCGAGGCCGGGGCGCCAGGCUGCCUCCCCCCUGGCGCCUCGGAUCCCCGCGCUACGGCCGGCGCUCGGAGCUGGACCACGAAGGAGGCCAUUUCCUCUCUUGGUAGAGGUUUCCACUUCUCUCCUCCCGGCUGAUUUGCCCGCAUCUCGCGCAUGUCGUCCACAGCAGGCCCAGCGCCCCAGGUCCGCUGGCCGGGGAGGAAGUGAGCUCACUGGGCAGGCUGGCCCGCGGCAAGAGAGGCUUGCGGAGCCCGGGGAGGAGCUGCGAACCUGGCCUGCCCGCCGGGGCCGCGCGCCCGGACGCGGUCUCAGUCGCGGACUUGGUUCUUCACGGCUAUGGGUGCAGGCGCGCGGGGAGCGACUCGCGAGGCUCAGGCCUCCGGGACAGAACCCAGAGGCUGGGGCCUCGUGAGCAGCGGGGUCCCGCACACACGGCCGGGUCCGUGCAGCCCCAGCCUCCAGCCGCGCGGGUGCGUCCCCGGCCUAGCUGCGCGCUCCCGCCCCUGCGCGCCCACCUCCCCUUCGCCUGCACGCGCGCCCCUGCAGACGGACGGUCCUGGGGAUCCGAUUUACCUUGCGAACGUGGAGUUUUUCUGGGGCCACCGCUGUCACCCACUCGUGAACACGCUCAGUCCUCGCGCUUCAGAAGAAUGAGCUACGGAUCCUUCUCCCAAUCUUUACAGUCUUCCACCGCCAGCGCCGGCGCCCCACGGCUCCGCUGCAGUCCUCUCUGGAAACGCGGACAGAGCGAGGCAGACUGUCUCGUCCAGCACGAGCCCCCGAAAGCCCCGAGCCAGCCCUACGAGCGUUUCCAGGCUGACAAGGCGCCUGACGAUGCAGGGGCACCUGUCCAAACGGGGCCUUAGCACCUCGUCCUCCAGGCCGCGAUGCUGCUCCAGCCGUUUGCGUCGGAAGAGCUGGCGACAGUCCGGAACCCAGCUCGGAGCGGGUAGCUCUCCGCCGUGCGGGGAGAACGGGACCCCGGACUUCCUCUAGGCCUUGCUACAGGGCCCUGCUCUCACCCGAGGAGAAGGUGUCUGAGUGGCACUCAGCGCUGGGUGCGAUCCGUGCGUGGCCUGAUUCCUGGUGGUUCGGGCGCCUGACAGCGUUUGGGAGAGGCCCAGGAGCUGUGUGUUGGGGGUACGGGGUUAUGGUCAGACCGCGAGGACCGGUCCGCGUCUGCAGGGUGCAGUGGGAAAGCUUCCCGGGUUUGUGUGCAACUGAUCUGGAAUCCAUUGGAGAAAUUUACAUCAAGUAGGACCUAGCCUUUUCGCCUCCAUCCCACCUCUUGCAGAAAACACCCGCACACCUCAUCUCUACCCAGUGGCUCGAUAGGUCGUCCCAUAAAAUCAGUAAAAUCUUGUUUUCCACCUAACCUACCACGUGUUGGUUAUCUAUUUUAAAACUCCAAGUCUUUCUCUGUGCACUCAGUAGGGAGGUGGUGAAGCCUCCUGGUGUCAACCUUGGCAAAUAAGGAGGGGAAAGCGUCCUCGAGAUUUCCUGGGUGUGCCAUCAGCUGACCUUCCCCCACCUCCUGAAGCCUCGAUGCGCAUCCCAUCUGGUCCCUAAUCUCUCCCAGCAAGUCCCCUCUGCGGUCCCUGGCUGCCGCAGCGCCUCCUGGCGCAACACACGGGGCAGCCAGACUCCGACUCCACCCUGCAGGCCAGGCGGCCACGGAGGGGCCUCGCUACUGGCUUUGGAAACUCCGUUUUUCCCACAGUAUUUCACAUUCAUAUUACUUUUAACACCCUGUUAGGCAGUAAUAACACUGAACCUGCUAAAUACUUCCAUGCACCAAGUCAGCCCUCCCUCAGUCACAGCCUUCAUGGGCCUUCUUCUGGUGAGGAGAUGGCUUUCUCAGCCCGUGGCCUUGUAGGCUUCCUUCUCUCCUCUCUUGAGAUCUAUCUUCAGACCCUACAAAGUUGGUCCUGGUGGUCGCUGCUGGGUGGGAGCACACAGGUAUGGGAGAGGUCUUAGCCCUGGCCUACAAGGGCGGGAAAGAGGAUGGUUGUUGUGGGGGGAAGACAUGGAUGUGGGGACUGUUCAGGUUUUGGUAAUUAUGUGCUGCUAGCUGGGCGAUUAUUCAAUGAACAAAGCCUUGCUUCAUACCAGGAGCAAGACAAGAAGUAAAACUUGUCCUGCAUAGUAAGUCCUACCUUCCCUUCAGGAGCCUGGGGCCCAAGGGGUAGCAUCUGGGCACUGAGCGGCCUGGGGUUGGGGUGGGGCCAGAGCCCAAGACCAGGCUCAAGAGCUUCAGAGCAGAGGAGAGGUCAGGCUGGUGAGGAAGCCCAGCUCCCUGCACGGAGUCACUCUUUGGCUGUUGGGUGGCUUCUGUGGAGUGGCACUUGCUCCCAGAGGAAGGGCAGAAGGAGCCUUAGAGUCCAGUGACAGUGCCCUGGACCCCCCUGGGCACAGUCAACAACAUGGUCCUGGCCCUCCCCUGUGUCCCAGGCCUGGGUUCCCUGUGUGUGCUGCAAGGUAUAGCGAGGGGGCACCUAAGCAGGACUGAAGCCGUGGUCCUGAGCUUCAGUCUGAAGAGUCCAGGGAAGUUGAGAAUGAGCCUCUGCUGCUCCUCAGGAUCCCACCUCAGUUCUUCCAUCAAGGGAAGCUAUAAUAUCUGCUUUGGUGGGAGUGGGAAGGAAAUAAGUUCUAAGGAGAGUCCCUUAUGUGUGAAGCAGUUUGCAGGCUCCAUAUUGUUUAAUCUUCACCAACUGUAAGAGGAGUAUUUCCAAACCCUGUGUGUCUGCAAGGAAGCUGAGUUGCAGACAUGAGGGACGUGGCCAGAGCCAUGGGUCUGUGCCUCCAAACAUACUCCAGGCCCCCUACUACUGUUCAGUAGUACCUACUACAUUCUUCUAAGGGCCAAGUCUCCUGGUGACCUUUACAGGGAGUUGAGCUGCCUUCCAUGAGCCUCUAACGUGCAUUCCUAGAGGCUGAUUGAGGUCAUGGGAAAUUCGGGAGUGGGAACUUGAAGCUUUGGGCACUAUUCAAGUUGUAGUGCUUUUCUACCACUUCCUCCAAAAUAUCCAGGAUACUGUAAGUUCCCAGACUCUCUUCAACUCAGGAGCCCAGCAUCCAUCACAUAUAUUCCUCAGUGUCACUUAUUGCGCCCCACCACACAAGCAUUGAGAUUGAAACUCUAAUUCACUGGAUUCGUUUCUGCUCUCUCACUAAUAUCCAACGUGAGCCCAGAGCUCUCCCCUCAAGACUAGGGAGGCCUGGGAAGGGAUUCACACGGUUCCUAACUUCCAAGAGCUGCCUCAGUUUUUUCUCCAAUUGUCAGGGCUAGAGUUUAGAGUUGGCCCAGUGAGCAGAAGGGACCACCCACCCCUAAGCUGGGGGAGGAAGACUGAGUGUGGGGCCUUGGAAACUAAUGCAUCAAGUUUUGGUAGUGAAACCCUGGGAGCCCCACCUCCCAAACAUCCUUAUUUGUGUGUGUCCACCUCCCAGCACUUGUUUGGUGGUUGCCUCUUGGGGUCCUAGGCUCCCCUUUCAUCCACAGAGAGGUGUUCUGGUGACUCU